UGUGUUAAACCUUACUUUUUUACUCAGUGUGUUCCAUGUUUUUUGCGCCUCAAAACAGAAAGAUCCUACUUUGGAUUGGGUUUUCAUGCACUGGAAAGAACAAAGUGAGAAUUUAGCCCAGUCCCCAACACGUGAGUCAAUUUCAGACAAAUUGAUGUAUGCCAAUAAACAAUACUAUUAAGAAAGGGGUGUUUUGUGGACCAAAGAAAUGACCUUCCCACAGGUGGACGUAGAAGCAGUGUUGAAUGCAUUGUAAGAUGAAGGAGCAGAUGAAUUAUAGAUAAAGAUAGUUGAAAUUGAUUAUGGCAGCAAGAAAGAGACUAUUCAGGGACAUUCAUAGGCAACUUACUGAAACAUUUUGAGGAGCAAAAUAUUCCAAAUCCUUGGCCUAGAAGAAAAGAGCAUUUGGGUAGAGAAAUCCUGAAGCAUCACACUUUGUCAAUCCCAUUGCUCCUAAAACCCACCAACAUUUAAAAACUUAAAAACCAGGUAAAUAUGCUAAACAGUGUUCAUGUGACAUUAUUGUGAAAUAGAGGCAGCACAGAUGAUGAAUGUAGGGCCAGAUUACAGUUUGAAAAUCUGCAUAAUGAAUACUUCUUCAUAUUCAAUAACAAAGCAGAGGGGCGAGGAAGCAAAGCCAAACUGGGGAAGGCUUUCCAGCAAAAUGUGUAAGAGAAAUGUGCUGAAUGUAACUGCCAAGUUUUAUGGCAGGGGUUGAAGGGCACUGGGCAGUCGUUGUGAAUAAAGAGUGAAAUGCUACUUUAGCAUUUGCUCUUGUGGGAGAGAACUAGCUGGGAAGUGGAGGGCUUUCUUCACAGACAUAGGAAACAUUGAAUGUAUAUUAUAUUGAUGUGGAAAACUUUGAAAUCAACUCCACCAAAGGCAUAGGAAUUUUUGUGAUCAAAAUUCACUCUGCUGCCUCAUUAUCUGCCUGUAAAUAUACUCACCAAAGUGGAAUUUCUUAUAGGAAAGCUUUUUAUCACCAUCAGCCAAUAGUUAUCCAUGACUUCUGGAGCCCUUCUUGUGUUUAUAUUAUCACAGGUCAAGUCACUCAGUAAAUAAUGGAGGAAGAGGAAACAGGUGAAGAAUAGGGACCACCUGCAAUGACAGAUGAGCAAAAAAAUCACCAAGGCAACUAUGAAGGGAGUUACAUUUGGAAGUCCGAAAAGAAGCCAAGAAUGAAAGGGCUUUACUUUUCCACAAGGAAGUGCACAGUUUCUUUAUACUACCAAAUGUUUGGUGGAGUUUUCAGUGUUUGGAAAAUGGCACUAACUCCACUCUGGUAUAAACUACCUUCCUGAUCAUGGUUUCUCUAUAAGCAAACAAGACAGGAAAAGCUGCAUCAAAAAAGACUUUUUAGCCAUGCAAAAGUCACUCAUGUAGAUACAGGGAGAUGAGGCACAUGCAGCUGAGAUGCACAUAUUAGCUGGAACUACAGUCUAGCCCUGCCUUUUGUGGAAGGGCUCUUCUACAAAUGAAAAGGAGACUGUGCUUGAAGGACCACUGAAGGCAUCCCAAGGCCUUGGGUGGAAGCUAACAUUAUUUAGGUUGGGCUAUCCAGGCUACAAAAAUAUACACAAAAGAGUGGCUUUAACCUUAAGAAGUAGCUUUUCAUGACUGGAAGGUGCAUGUAAGACUUACUAAUGACUGUUUUAUGUUGCCAAGAGGGUCAAGACGUGGAGGGGACAAUAAACAGUACCUGCAUCAGGCUAUUUAUAAGGUGCUUAGCAUAUUUGUACCCUGUAAAUUCAUUAAUAGUGGCCUAGCCCUUUUGCACAAAAUAAAAUAAAUCAAUUACUCUCUUCAAACAUGUUUAAAUAUUCAGAAUAUUUUAAAGGAUUUUGACAGAGUCCGUUGAAUUUUUUUUUUUUUUUUUUUUUUUUUUUUUUUUUUUUUGUAGGAGCACAAACUUAAUUCUGGGCAGCUAACCAGAGGGUUCAGGUAGACUUGGGUGUGUGUAGAGAGUUUACAAGUAAAAUUUUGUGUUCCAUUUGCAAAUAAUUAAGUGUUUUUUUGAGGGAGAGGAAAUACAGAUGACAAAGUUUAUCUCAAGGCCGGUGAGCCAGGUUCAGCUGAGAGGCAGGGCAGAGUCCAUCUUUCUCAUGUGACUUAGAGUAGGCUGAAAAAAAAGUAGUCAGUAGAAACCAAAGAAAGCUUCUUCACUAUGAGCUCUGUGAAAUAACUGUUCAGGUUUUAGAGGGAAGGAUCAAUAAAUUAUAACCUGUUUCCCUUUCAGUAUCCAAAACCAAUUGAAAAACAAGACACAAGAUGCAGGUAAUGAUUUAAAAAGCAAGCAACAAAACAAAACAACCCCACCUUAUUUUGAACCAAACAUGGAGUGAAGGGCAAGAUUUCUAGGUAUAGCCAAAGAGCCUUACUAAGGUUUUAUCUGUGAAUUGGGCAGACUUACCCAAGCAGUGCCUGGCACUUUUGAACACUGCAGGACCCCUUGUGCAGGCAGUCCACUUGCUGCAUUUCAAAGAACAGACUUGAGUGCAGCCUCAGAGAUAAUUUGGGAGAGGCUGAGCCACAUGAUCACACCUCCCUCUGCCCAACUCUCUCAUCAAACAAUUUACUUCUCUUUCCCAAAGGAGAAAAAUGCAUUAGGGGUAGGAGGAGUGGAGCUGUGUGUGCUGUGCUUUCCUUCCCAAGGAAGAGUGAUGAGUGGGAAACUUGCAUCCUUCCCAACAAUAUUGAGAAUAUAGACAGUCGAGGGGGCUAGAAACAAGAGGAGGUGAUGAAGACAUGGCUCUUAGGACUUUUAAUCCUCACAGCAUUUGGUAUAAAUAACUGUGGUACGGCCUCAGCUAAGAGCAUCAGGCUUUGAUUUUUAUCUCCAGGUGUGGCCCAGAAGAUAUGGUGCUCGCCUAAAGUUCACAGUAUCUUGGAGCACAUGCUUGAUAUUAGUAAAAUGGAAAGUUAUAUUACAAAUAUUUUUAGUCCUGUAUGUAAGUAGCUAGAUAAAAUUGGACAAACAUUGCCAUCAGUUUUAUCGUAUACAUAUUCCUAAGUUAAUUAGAAUAUCAGUUAUUCUGAAUAUCCCAUUUCAACCAUUUUGAAUCAAUGAGUUAUUCAACUGAAUAAACAUUCCUUUUAUAAAGAUCUGUUGUUUUCCAGGCACUGUCUUGAUAACAGACACAGAGAAAUGAAGGCGACACUUUCCUUGCCUGUCAAAGUCUAUACCAUGUAGAAUUUAUAGACCUGUAGCUAUAGACCUGUAGCUAAUUCGAUGCAACACAACAAAAGUACAUUGAUAGAGGCAGUGCAGAAGUGACAAAAAAGAGUGUUCAGAUCUUUGGGGGCCUAAAGGAAGGCUGGGAUUUGAGUCAAGAGUGAAAGUAUCCUUUAAUAGCCUCCUAAAAUAUAAGUGAGAUGUUGCCUGCUGGGCUUGGAAUGAGAGAGGACAUUCCAGGUAGCAACUGGAGAAGUUCUCACAAUAAUAGGAUGCUUUGUUUGUGGAAUUACAGAUCAUGCUAUUACUGAGGAGCAGAAUUCAACUUUAGCAUUGACAAGAGUUAAAGAGCAAGAUAUAAGUUGAAGCUAGCUCUUAUAAGUUAUUAAGUGCCAUGUUUCUGUUGUGAUUAAGUUUUUAUUGCUUUUCUUUGCGUUCUCUUCUUCAGCAAUAGAUACUGCCCUCUCAUGCUGAAGAAUAGAUAGGGACUAGAUACCAACUUUGAAUCACUGAUGUUUGCCAUACUCAGAAGGGGAAAUUAAUGAGAAAACAGUCCUCAUCUUUCUGUGAGAAAAGGGUAGUCCCACUCAGAGAGGCUUAUCAUUGGACUUGGUGAUUAUAUUUCUGUGAUCUGGCAGACAUUGGACUCGGUCUUUUUAGCAUUCAUGGGGUAGCUGAUUUGCAUGCCAAGAGUUAAUGUGCAUGGUAAAUAAAUUUAUAAAUCUGUAGUACUUUCCUAAGUGCCUAUGAUUUUAUUUUAUUUAUUUUUAAUUUUUUAUUGUUAUUUCCCCAAUACAAUUUUUUUCCUACUGUACAGCAUGGUGAGCCAGUUACGCAUACAUGUAUACAUUCUUUUUUCUCACAUUAUCAUGCUCCAUCAUAAGUGACUAGACAUAGUUCCCAGUGCUACACAGCAGGAUCUCAUUGCUAAGCCAUUCCAAAAGCGAUAGUUUGCAUAUAUUAACCCCAAGCUCCCAAUCUAUCCCACUCCCUCCCCCUUCUCCUUGGCAACCACAAGUCUAUUCUGCAAGUCCAUGAUUUUCUUUUCUGUGGAAAGGUUCAUUUGUGCCUAUGAUUGAUCCUGUUGUUGGGAACUAAUUGUUACCCCCAUGGCUGUUACAAAAGAGCCAGGCUCCAGAAUAGGUGAUAGCUGUAAGAGAUAAAGUGCCCGCCUUCACUGCUGAAUUUUGGACCAAAAUGAUAAGGGUAACCCUCCCAAUUGGAGGAGUGCCCCAUCUUCAUAUAGUCCAAAUGUCCUGCCACAAAAACUUAACUUUCUCCUUGUUCUGCCAGAAACUCUUGAGCCACUUUGGUGCAGUAACUCUUGUCUGCAGUAAUGGAUGAUCCUUGCCAUAUCAUCUCCAUAGGACCAAGGAGAUCAAAAGGGUUUAAUUCAAAUGUCUCCAGCUAGCUUGGCGAGUGCCUGUCCAUUAAGCAAAUCAUUGGGGAGUAAAUAUCACUCCCAUGAUAUUUGUUCUUACACAUGAUCACACUGCUUGAGGACAGAUAAGUCCUAUGGAAAAUAGGAUUCAGUCUACUUCUUUGCUUGGGACAGAAAUUGUCCAGUGAGUAGGGGGUUGCAGAUUAUUUGGGGUUUGCAACCCCAAAACAUGCUGCUUGGACAUAUUGGUUAUUUUGAGCUUGGGGACUUAAAAAAAAAAAAAAAAAAAAAAGCUAAUAUGGUGAGGAAUGUUCUCUGAACUCCUCCUAUCUGCCUGGAGACAGAUCCUGUAAAAGGAAGUCAGUCAUCAUAAAUCCCCUCCCUCCCAGAGAGCUUCAUCAACCAGGGAGGAUUGGAUCUCACCACAGGAGGGGAGACUAAAGGCCGAAAUCACCUCUGGGCAAACUUUGUCACAGGCUAUCAUAUCUCCCAUCUGUUCUUCUAAGGGCCAAUUUGUCUUUUUUAAAUUAAUAUGCUCUCCAUUGAGAGACAUACAUUCCCCUGUCUUUUCUCUAUUAGGAUGGUAUUUACGCCUGAAUUUCAGGCUACCUCAGGAGUUACUUAAUUUUCCCUAGAUAUCUCCCAUUUGUACAUACAUGAGGUAUAGAUGUUAAUACCCCUCUGUUUGUUUUUCUCUUGUCAAGCUGUCUCUUAUCAUAGGGGUCUCGGCUGAGAACUCAGAAGGGUAGGGAGUUCCCCUCAUGGCUCAGCAGUAACAAACCCAACUAGUAUCCAUGAAGACAUGGGUUCAAUCCCUGGUGCCUCUCCAUGGGUUAAGGAUCUGGCAUUGCUGUGACCUGUGGUAUAGGUUGUAGAUGCAACUUGGAUCCUGUGUUGCUGUGGCUGUGGUGUAGGCCAGCAGCUGCAGCUCCAAUUUGACCCCUAGCCUGGAAACUUCCAUAUGCUGUGGGUACAGUCCUAAAAAGACAAAAACAGAAACAAAACAAAAAACUCAGAAGGAUAGAGGGAAAAUGAUUUUCCCCAAAAAACACUGAUCUUUUGUUAUCCAUUCUCUACAUUCAGUGUAAUGACAUUGGAAUGAUCCAGUAGUGCUUUCCUACAUUACUCAAGGUACAUGUAAGGGGGAGGGAAGGUAGUAUUCUUGGAAGAAGGAAAACUAGUCUCUGGAUAUCUUUCUGUUACUUGUAUGGGGGAAGGAGUCAAGGAUUUUGCACUUUGGGAACCGACUGGGGGACGUGUUUUUGAAUUCCUGUGAUCUGUAGGGCCUUACCCUGGUUUUAUGAAAGUGCUAGAGAAAGAGAAUCUGUGUUUAUAAUUAAGGGAUAGAGAUGUGAUUAGAUAUGCUUUGUAGCAGCUACAUAGCCAACAGUAAUGUGGAGGACCAGAAGGAUACUGGGGCUAGGUGACCAGCAAGGAAGCUACUGCACAUAUCAAACCCAGACUUAGAGGAGCAGCUGUGAUAGAGGGAGGAUAAGGGCCAAGACUUUCUCACUGGCUAUAUCCAUGUGCUAUUAAUGUGUUUUUCAUCUUAGGGGAUCAUUUCUCAGGAAGCAUUUACUGCAAUCCCAGUGCCACAGGUUGCUUCCUAGUUCAUGUAUCAUUUAUGUGAAGAAUAUAGAUUAGGCCAUGUCCAACCAGUAAUGACUUGGUUUUGGGCCUUGCUUCCUGGGGAAUGUCAGCUGCCAGUCUCCUGACUUUAUGACUUCCAUGUAAAACCGAAUCCUCCUCCUUGUAAACGUGUCCUACCCCUACCAUCCUCCUCCUGUGUGAAGAGUUUGCAUUUUCAUCUUAAAAGAAGAAAUACCAGGUGUUGGCUCUGUGUAGAGUAUGUUGCUACCAAGAACCUGUAACAAGUUGCAGAUUCUUGUCCUGGCUCAGCAGUAACAAUGUGGGUUUGAUCCCUGGUCCUAUUCAGUGAGUUAAGAAUCCAUUAUAGUCAAAAGCUAUAAUGUAAGUCACAGACAAUGCUCAGAUCUCAUGUUGCUGUGUUGUGGCUCAGGCUGGCAGCCAUAGCUCCAAUUUGAUCCCUAGCCUGGGAACUUCCAUAUGCCACGGGUGUGGUC
rnacentral:lncRNA from 1 species